UAUAAAUCACCGGAGCAAAAGCCAAAUCCUGUGUUUUCCCUGUGGCUUCUCUUUCAUAGAAUUUUACUGAUUUUUCUUUUUCUUGCGAUGUCCGAUCACGCCUAUUGUUUUGUUUUGCAGAAAUAAUCGAAACUAGUAUCGAUUGAAACAACAUCUGUUAUUGGUGUUGGUGCGUAUAAUGACAGAAAGACAUUAGUGUUUGCUCCUUUUCUUUGUUUUAUUUUGAUUUUAAAGUUUCUUCUAAUUUCUCCUAGACGUUCGUAUGUUUAUUAAUUCAAAUUUUUGGGAUUUUAUAAGCGAGAUUUUUCCGGCAUCAGCAUGUAUAAUUGGGGUUUUCAAAAAUCAUUAUUUUUUUACUUCUCAAUCACAAGGUAAAAUAUAUAUCCAAGAAAGAUUUAGAUUUUUUUGUGAACUGUGUUUAACGGCAGAGAUCGGAUUUUUGCAUUUUUUUUAUACUCCAAAAAUCUCAUUCUAUAUACAAGUAAAAACAACACCAUUUUAUAUGGGUCAUAAGAGCAGUGAGAUGUAACUGAUAUUAACAUCAGAUGAUGUUACGAUGCAAGUUGAGCUUACACCAAAAUGGGAUCUCCAUAAUCCAUUUUGACAAAGAACGUAACUUCAGUGACAGGUAUUGUCGAUGAUUGUUUUGACGGUUGCAGCUGUCCUUCAGGGACGGAGCCAGGAUUUUGAAACAGGGUGGGCGAAGAAAAAGUACUCCACGAAACAAAAAUAAAUAACCCCAAAAAAAAUUUUCAUUACACAUGAAAGAUUGUAUUACAACACUUGGCAGUGUUUUGUAGCAACAAAAUAUACGAUACUAGAGAUAUGUUAGUUAAUUCA